CCAACAGGGAUUGCCUCAGUAACGGCGAGUGAAGCGGCAACAGCUCAAAUUUGAAAUCUGGUCCUUUCAGGCCCCGAGUUGUAAUUUGUAGAGGAUGUUUCGGGUGCGGCGCCGGUCUAAGUCCUUUGGAACCGGGCGUCAUAGAGGGUGAGAACCCCGUCUGUGACCGGCGACCAACCCCAYGUGUAACUCCCUCGACGAGUCGAGUUGUUUGGGAAUGCAGCUCAAAAUGGGUGGUAAAUUUCAUCUAAAGCUAAAUACCGGCCAGAGACCGAUAGCGCACAAGUAGAGUGAUCGAAAGAUGAAAAGCACUUUGGAAAGAGAGUCAAAAAGUACGUGAAAUUGUUGAAAGGGAAGCGCUGGCAACCAGACCUGCCCGCCGGCGAUCAACCUCCGUUYUCGGGGGUGCACUCGCCGGCGAUCAGGCCAGCAUCGGUUCGGGCGGCCGGAUAAAGGCCCCGGGAAUGUAGCUCCCCCCGGGGAGUCUUAUAGCCCGGGGUGCAAUGCGGCCAKCGCCGGACCGAGGACCGCGCUUCGGCAAGGAUGCUG
rnacentral:rRNA from 1 species